CCUUCCCGGGGAUCUCGGCGCACUGUAGUUACGAGUCCAUCGCCUGCUGGAUCUCGUCUUGCAGACGCCCCCUACCUCUCCCCAGGAUGCCUGCCAGGCGCCACAUGUCGUGGCCAGCACCAUAGAGCUUGCAGCCGAGGGAUCGAGGCCCGAAGGACAGGACAAGGACCAGAGUGGCCUCUGCGCAGUCCCCAGCGGGCCGAGUCCCCAGCUAGCCAAUCAGUAAGGAGCCCUGCCGGAAGGAUGACGCUCUAGGAAGGAAGUGGAGGAUGGGGUGGGCUUGGCGCUGGCGAGGUGAGCGAUAGAAGGACUUGAAGCGGGACCAGGGCCAAGGUGUCGUCCUCUGUCGCCAUUGUAGGAGCCUCGAGGGUGCGCGGAUCCGAAUGGUGGCUGAUUGGUGGGCCGAAUUACCCAGGGCAAGUUUUGCCACCAGGUUCAAGCUCUGGCCCGUUUUUUUUUCUCUUUACAUUUAGGCUGUAGGCAGAGGAAAUCCUUGCCAGCGGCCGGGCAAGAAUUCCAGCGCAGUUAACAGUUAAGGCCUUUUCUCCGCUUCGCAGUCACAAACGAUUGUUUCCUUAGGAAUCUCACCAGAAACACAUUUGCAGGUGAAGGACAUAUACUAAACCCCUUGUGGCGCCUGGUUUUAACUUUAUCACAUUGUAAUUCCAUCCUACGAACCACUCUGUAAGUUCACUUAACAGAGAGAGAAGCGGAGUGGUUCUUAGCAACCUUUUGCGAUGUAACUUAACCACCAGAGAGGUAUCUGGCUAACACGGCAGCUCUCGAGGAGUCCGUAUUUACACGUUGCCAGAAAGAGGGGGAAAGCGACACCAAGAAUCCAUUCCCAACGAAAAACCAAGAGGAGACGCGGCAGCUCCCAGAUGUUGAUGUUUUGUUUUUUUGACAUAAAUCUUCGCACUCAUA